rnacentral:rRNA from 1 species
UACGUAGGGUGCAAGCGUUGUCCGGAAUUAUUGGGCGUAAAGAGCUCGUAGGCGGUUUGUUGCGUCGGCUGUGAAACUCCGAGGCUCACCGUCGGUCUGCAGUCGAUACGAGCAAACUAGAGUGUUGCAGGGGAGACUGGAAUCCUGGUGUAGCGGUGAAAUGACGCAGAUAUCAGGAGGAACACCGGUGGCGGAAGGCGGCCAACUGGGCCGGACCUGACGCUGGAGGCGACGGAAGGCGUGGGGAGCGAACGGG